UCUCUAGUGUCCGAGUGGUUAUGGAGCUGCGUUUAGGUCUCCUAAGCAACUUCCGCAGUGGCUUUGCCUCGUGGGUUCAAAUCCCACCCUUGUCAU